rnacentral:rRNA from 1 species
GGACGAACGCUGGCGGCGUGCUUAACACAUGCAAGUCGAACGGGGAUAGUUGAGGAAGGGCUUCGGCCUGGAAACGAUUAUUCGAGUGGCGGACGGGUGAGUAACGCGUGAACAAUCUGUCCCAGACAGGGGGAUAACACUUGGAAACAGGUGCUAAUACCGCGUGAGACCACGGUAUCGCAUGGUACUGAGGUAAAAGGAGCAAUCCGGUUUGGGGUGAGUUCGCGUCCGAUUAGCCAGUUGGUGAGGUAACGGCCCACCAAAGCGACGAUCGGUAGCCGAUCUGAGAGGAUGACCGGCCACAUUGGAACUGAGAGACGGUCCAAACUCCUACGGGAGGCAGCAGUGGGGAAUAUUGGGCAAUGGGCCGAAAGCCUGACCCAGCAACGCCGCGUGAGUGAAGAAGGCCUUCGGGUUGUAAAGCUCUGUUAUAGGGGACGAAGGAAGUGACGGUACCCUAUAAGGAAGCCCCGGCUAACUACGUGCCAGCCGCAGC